GAUUUUAAAGCUAUAUAAGCAUUUCACUUACACUGAAAAGACAGAAAUACCAAACAUUU
rnacentral:tRNA from 1 species